AGAAAGCAGUAAUAUAGUAGUGGAGUCUGCAAAAGAUCACGUCACAGGAAGGCUGCAGAUAACACACGAAAACACUGCCUCCUCUGCUGCCCUGGUGUGAUCAUGGGUACAAGGCUGCUGUGCUGUGUAGCAUUUUGUCUGCUUGGGGCAGGUUCCUUUGUUGCUGAAGUAACCCAGACUCCAAGAUACCUGAUCAAAGAGAAAGGACAGAGAGUAAAUAUGAGCUGUAGUCCUGAAAAGGCGCAUACUGCCUUUUACUGGUAUCAACAGAACCAGAAAAAAGAACUUACAUUUUUGAUUAAUUUUCGAAAGGUAGACAUUAUUGACCAAACAGACUUGGUCAAGAAGAGAUUCUCAGCUCAGUGUGUCCCAGACUUACACUGCACCCUGGAGAUCCCAUCCUCUGAAGAAGGAGACUCAGCAUUGUACUUCUGUGCCAGCAGUCUGUACACAGCACUGAAAUGUACAUCCCCCUCUGCGCAUAAACUGGUGUGGACACAACUCAGGAAGUGGGUGAUGCCAGAAACUGGAGGGCAGUAACAGAAAUUUACAAGAUCUGGCAUCAACUACAGCAGAUUUCACCCUGGGUUGGAGGGUAUUUAGAGGCACACGAGCAACAGGCCAGGUCUGAGAGAGCUGCUCUUCAUACCACAUUCCUCUCCUCUUUUGCUUGCCUCAUGUUUGUC